UGAGGAAUAUUGGUCAAUGGACGAGAGUCUGAACCAGCCAAGUAGCGUGAAGGAUGACUGCCCUAUGGGUUGUAAACUUCUUUUAUAAGGGAAUAAAGUGAGGGACGUGUCCCUUUUUGUAUGUACCUUAUGAAUAAGGAUCGGCUAACUCCGUGCCAGCAGCCGCGGUAAUACGGAGGAUCCAAGCGUUAUCCGGAUUUAUUGGGUUUAAAGGGAGCGUAGGUUGACAUAUAAGUCAGCUGUGAAAGUUUACGGCUCAACCGUGAAAUUGCAGUUGAUACUGUAUGUCUUGAGUGUACAAGAGGUGGGCGGAAUUCGUGGUGUAGCGGUGAAAUGCUUAGAUAUCACGAAGAACUCCAAUUGCGAAGGCAGCUCACUGGGGUACAACUGACACUGAGGCUCGAAAGUGUGGGUAUCAAACGG
rnacentral:rRNA from 1 species